AUACGUAGGGUGCGAGCGUUGUCCGGAAUUACUGGGCGUAAAGAGCUCGUAGGUGGUUUGUCGCGUCGUCUGUGAAAUUCCGGGGCUUAACUCCGGGCGUGCAGGCGAAACGGGCAUAACUUGAGUACUGUAGGGGAGACUGGAAUUCCUGGUGUAGCGGGGAAAUGCGCAGAUAUCAGGAGGAACACCGGUGGCGAAGGCGGGUCUCUGGGCAGUAACUGACGCUGAGGAGCGAAAGCAUGGGUAGCGAACAGGAUUAGAUACCCUGGUAGUCCAUGCCGUAAACGGUGGGCGCUAGGUGUAGGGGUCUUCCACGACUUCUGUGCCGUAGCUAACGCAUUAAGCGCCCCGCCUGGGGAGUACGGCCGCAAGGCUAAAACUCAAAGGAAUUGACGGGG
rnacentral:rRNA from 1 species